rnacentral:lncRNA from 12 species
CGACAGACAUAGGCCUACAUUCUGUUCAGUAGGCCCAAAACCUUUAAUUUUACAAAAAGUUUUUUUUAGAAAGGCGUUUUCAAAACAUUGCUCUCCCGGAUAGCACACGUAUGGCUGCUAGAUGCCUGUUAAAGAUCACUUGAUCUGGAAAGCAUCUGCUGUGUACAAACAUCUGACAGACGUCUGUAAGAGGUCAGUUUUACAUACAUUCUAAAUCACAAACAUCUUAAAGAAAUCUAAUAUACGUCUAUUUGACAUCUGAAAGGAAACGUCCUAUAGAUGUACUUUAUUGCAGAUGAGCUAACACACUAAACAAUAUGUAUUCAAGAUGUAAAUGCAGAUGUCAAAUAGUUGUCUCCCUGAUGUACAUGUGCUAUCAGGGCUGUUUGAGCAUCUGAUCAGUCCAACAGCAUCUGAACCAAUGGUGUGAAUUUGGGGUGGGGCCAACUGUUUAUCUGACUAAUAGCAGACAGGGAGAGUUUUCUGUGGGGGAACCAUUCUGAAAGCAAUCGUUCCAGUUGAUGAUGCAUGUGGCACAGAAAUGACGCACUUCACCUUUAAGUAGACGUAAAUGAAAACAAAGCUAUGAGAAGUAGCCAGACUGUUCAGGAAAGGAGGAUGAACUUCAGAUCUUUCCCACCAUCCAUCUUGCACAAGUAUGAGUUUUCUUCAAAGACUUCUAAGUGCAGCCCAGAACAUCCUCACAUGAGUGAUCUUCCUGAACCUAGCCCGGCUCAACCCUGCUUGACCUCACAUGCCUUUUUCACACCAGCUGUCAGCACGCACGCAAAUGCCCUGCCAAUUUGCUAACAGGGGUGUGUGUUCAUGUGUGCCAUGUUGAUUUAGAUGCAACGAGAGGGCUAAACCCUCUCCAUCCCUUUCAUGGGUCAUGGAUGUCUCUCAUCCAUGACCCUGAGAAUUUAUGUCAUCUGUGCUGCUUCUUCUACUCCCAUCCAGUUUGUCAUUUAGUUAAGGAAAAAUAAGUGGUCACGCUCUGAUCAUGGCCUGUAAUCUAAUCAUCUUGGAGAGGCCUGUGUUUAAAGAAAAAAUUGGGAGCUGUGACACGGCACAAAUCAGACACACCCAGACACUUCCUGUCUCUGAGUUAGCCAGGUAAAUAAAGGACUAUAUCUCAUUACUGUAGCUAGUACAGUAGAGGUGUAAUUAUGAAGUUCGUCAAGUGAGUACUGUUAACAAUUUAAGUCUUAAUUUCUUAUCCAGUGGAAGCUGCUACUGUGUUUGGCAAGCUAAGUAUAAACCUGUUAUUUGUUUAAUGCAGGGGUCUCAACUAUAAUAAUAACUAUAACAUUUUAAAAUUCAGUCUUAUUAUGUUAGAAUAGGGAAAUACACACCACGAUUAUUACACAGAAGAACAAUACUGUUGGAAUCACUCUCAGAACGAUUUUAUUUUGCAGCUAAAGAAGGAUAAAAACAUUGAUAGCCAAUCUGAAUCCAUCCGACUUGAAAUAGCUUGAGCAUUUAAAUUGGCAGUGAACAAAACAGCACACAAAUGCAAAUGUGCAAUUGUAACUUUCGUGAGAAUAGCAAGCAACCUGCAUCCAACCAGCGACCAUCAAUGCAAUCUGCUUUGCAUGCAGGAUUUUAUUUUUGAGCUGCUGUGCAGCUACUUCAGUCUUUACUAUAGUAAUGUGUGAUUUGUGUUAUAUGCAUGUUUAGUCCUUUUGUAGAUUAUAACUACAGUAUAAUAUCAUAUCAUAUGUUAUUUCUGGUCUCUUUUUACAGAAACUAGACAGAUCUGCUUAGAGUAAAUUGCAGUUCUUAUUGAAUUCAGUCUUGAAUUGUCACACAGAGCAGCAUGCAGGGAAUGAAGCAUAGAUGAGACACUUAACUCUGUAAAGGUUUGUUCUUCCAUGAGUAAUUGCACCUUCACUAUGUAUUUCUAUUAUUAUUUUUUUUUUCUGUUCUGAAGCUAUUUCUUCAAUGCUAUGAUACCAUAGUGGAAGCUUGAAACGUGGGUAAAAGUGUGAGUAUUUCUUCACACUGUGGUUCGAGAGAAGGCAGUGACAGUUACUGCUCUGUCAAAAGCAUAUA